UGGGGAAUUUUGGACAAUGGGGGCAACCCUGAUCCAGCCAUGCCGCGUGUCUGAAGAAGGCCUUCGGGUUGUAAAGGACUUUUGUUAGGGAAGAAAAGGGAAGUGCUAAUACCACUUUUUGCUGACGGUACCUAAAGAAUAAGCACCGGCUAACUACGUGCCAGCAGCCGCGGUAAUACGUAGGGUGCGAGCGUUAAUCGGAAUUACUGGGCGUAAAGCGAGCGCAGACGGUUACUUAAGCAGGAUGUGAAAUCCCCGGGCUCAACCUGGGAACUGCGUUCUGAACUGGGUAGCUAGAGUAUGUCAGAGGGGGGUAGAAUUCCACGUGUAGCAGUGAAAUGCGUAGAGAUGUGGAGGAAUACCGAUGGCGAAGGCAGCCCCCUGGGAUAAUACUGACGUUCAUGCUCGAAAGCGUGGGUAGCAAACAGGAUUAGAUACCCUGGUAGUCCACGCCCUAAACGAUGUCGAUUAGCUGUUGGGCAACUUGAUUGCUUAGUAGCGUAGCUAACGCGUGAAAUCGACCGCCUGGGGAGUACGGUCGCAAGAUUA
rnacentral:rRNA from 1 species